rnacentral:rRNA from 1 species
AUUAGUGGCGAACGGGUGAGUAACACGUGAGUAACCUGCCCUUAACUUCGGGAUAAGCCUGGGAAACCGGGUCUAAUACCGGAUACGACGGACCACCGCAUGGCGGUCCGUGGAAAGCUUGAUGCGGUUUUGGAUGGACUCGCGGCCUAUCAGCUAGUUGGUUGGGGUAAUGGCCCACCAAGGCGACGACGGGUAGCCGGCCUGAGAGGGUGACCGGCCACACUGGGACUGAGACACGGCCCAGACUCCUACGGGAGGCAGCAGUGGGGAAUAUUGCACAAUGGGCGAAAGCCUGAUGCAGCGACGCCGCGUGAGGGACGAAGGCCUUCGGGUUGUAAACCUCUUUCAGCAGGGAAGAAGCGAAAGUGACGGUACCUGCAGAAGAAGCGCCGGCUAACUACGUGCCAGCAGCCGCGGUAAUACGUAGGGCGCAAGCGUUAUCCGGAAUUAUUGGGCGUAAAGAGCUCGUAGGCGGUUUGUCGCGUCUGCUGUGAAAGCCCGGGGCUCAACCCCGGGUCUGCAGUGGGUACGGGCAGACUAGAGUGAUGUA